UAAAGCGUGCGUAGGCGGCCAAUUAAGUCAAAUGUGAAAUCCCCGAGCUUAACUUGGGAAUUGCAUUCGAUACUGGUUGGCUAGAGUAUGGGAGAGGAUGGUAGAAUUCCAGGUGUAGCGGUGAAAUGCGUAGAGAUCUGGAGGAAUACCGAUGGCGAAGGCAGCCAUCUGGCCUAAUACUGACGCUGAGGUACGAAAGCAUGGGGAGCAAACAGGAUUAGAUACCCUGGUAGUCCAUGCCGUAAACGAUGUCUACUAGCCGUUGGGGCCCUUGAGGCUUUAGUGGCGCAGCUAACGCGAUAAGUAGACCGCCUGGGGAGUACGGUCGCAAGACUAAAACUCAAAUGAAUUGACGGGGGCCUGCACAAGCGGUGGAGCAUGUGGUUUAAUUCGAUGCAACGCGAAGAACCUUACCUGGCAUUGACAUACAGAGAACUUUCCAGAGAUGGAUUGGUGCCUUCGGGAACUCUGAUACAGGUGCUGCAUGGCUGUCGUCAGCUCGUGUCGUGAGAUGUUGGGUUAAGUCCCGCAACGAGCGCAACCCUUUUCCUUAUUUGCCAGCACUUCGGGUGGGAACUUUAAGGAUACUGCCAGUGACAAACUGGAGGAAGGCGGGGACGACGUCAAGUCAUCAUGGCCCUUACGGCCAGGGCUACACACGUGCUACAAUGGUCGGUACAAAGGGUUGCUACACAGCGAUGUGAUGCUAAUCUCAAAAAGCCGAUCGUAGUCCGGAUUGGAGUCUGCAACUCGACUCCAUGAAGUCGGAAUCGCUAGUA
rnacentral:rRNA from 1 species